rnacentral:rRNA from 1 species
CUACGGUGCUAUACUGCAGUCGAGCGAACAGAUAAGGAGCUUGCUCCUUUGACGUUAGCGGCGGACGGGUGAGUAACACGUGGGUAACCUACCUAUAAGACUGGGAUAACUUCGGGAAACCGGAGCUAAUACCGGAUAACAUUUGGAACCGCAUGGUUCUAAAGUGAAAGAUGGUUUUGCUAUCACUUAUAGAUGGACCCGCGCCGUAUUAGCUAGUUGGUAAGGUAACGGCUUACCAAGGCAACGAUACGUAGCCGACCUGAGAGGGUGAUCGGCCACACUGGAACUGAGACACGGUCCAGACUCCUACGGGAGGCAGCAGUAGGGAAUCUUCCGCAAUGGGCGAAAGCCUGACGGAGCAACGCCGCGUGAGUGAUGAAGGGUUUCGGCUCGUAAAACUCUGUUAUUAGGGAAGAACAAAUGUGUAAGUAACUGUGCACAUCUUGACGGUACCUAAUCAGAAAGCCACGGCUAACUACGUGCCAGCAGCCGCGGUAAUACGUAGGUGGCAAGCGUUAUCCGGAAUUAUUGGGCGUAAAGCGCGCGUAGGCGGUUUCUUAAGUCUGAUGUGAAAGCCCACGGCUCAACCGUGGAGGGUCAUUGGAAACUGGGAAACUUGAGUGCAGAAGAGGAAAGUGGAAUUCCAUGUGUAGCGGUGAAAUGCGCAGAGAUAUGGAGGAACACCAGUGGCGAAGGCGACUUUCUGGUCUGUAACUGACGCUGAUGUGCGAAAGCGUGGGGAUCAAACAGGAUUAGAUACCCUGGUAGUCCACGCCGUAAACGAUGAGUGCUAAGUGUUAGGGGGUUUCCGCCCCUUAGUGCUGCAGCUAACGCAUUAAGCACUCCGCCUGGGGAGUACGACCGCAAGGUUGAAACUCAAAGGAAUUGACGGGGACCCG